ensembl:lncRNA
UAAGCUUCGCGCGUGCGCAAUUGCGCACUGCUGACACGGUCUCCGCGCACAGAUCUGCGCUGCGCACACACACAAAAAAAAAAUCCAACCUAAAUUGUAAAUAAAAUAAACACGUAACAAUUCAUUCUGUGCUAUUUUUCAAUGUGAGUCAGUGAGUGACCGGUGACUGGCUGCUGCAGCCAAUGAUGCGAUUCACAUACGUAUUUACCAUAGACUGUAUAUAAUGGUAUUUACGCAGCUAAUCAAAGUCAGGCUUCCUUAUGUGCAGCUACCGUUGUUCUCAUAGAUAUGAAUGAGUAGAUAGGACACGCCCCUUUGAGCUACGUGCUAUAGCGAGGCUAAGCUAGUGGGGGCAAAGUUUCAGUGCAUUCCGUUGAUGUAGACGGCGUGAAAACGGAAACAAGUAUGCCGGCUCACUGUGCUGCAUACAAUUACACACUACCUCGUAUGAUUGAGACAAGGAAACUUGGAAUGACUUUUCAUAGGUUUCCCAGAGACUAUGGGUUGAGGAGGAAUUGGAAGUUUGUCGGCUUAGACCUGGUGUCAUUCCAUCAGUGUUAAACUUCCCGGCUCAUCUUGGAAGAGUACGUGCCAGAAAGACCACGACCAAGCAGCCUUGAGAUCUUAGGCAGCGUCUCCCUGAGGUCCCUCUCUAUCUCCCCACACAUCCACCAACCACUGGAGCACAUCUCCAAAGUUCUGCCGGGCCAGCUCAGCUUCCCCUCAGAAGAAGUUCCACCACCUGCCAGAUGAAGGAGCCUUUUGAGAGGCAGCUGGCAUCGUGAUUGGACUGUACUUUGGUCUGUUCCGGUCCAGCAUCAGCUCCAGAGACGGCAGGUGGGACGAGUCAACGGAGGCCGGGUGGACGAAGGCAUGCAGCUGAGUACAAUCCAGAAAACAACAGAGGAGGAGUGCAGCAGCC